GGAGUAUUGAAAUCUGCUAUUCAAUCGGGCUUCCAUGUACCUCCGGGCAAGUAUUAUUUGGUUGACGGAGGCUAUGCAAACACACCACAGUUUCUAGCUCCGUACCGUGGAGUUCGUUACCAUCUAAAAGAUUUCGGUAGAGGUGGCCCUCGUCCAAAGAACCCCAAAGAACUAUUCAAUCUAAGGCAUGCCCGUCUAUGGAACCAUAUAGAGCGUACAAUUGGUGUAUGGAAAAUGCGAUUUCCUAUUUUAAAAGUUCGCACACAUUACCCAAUUGACACUCAAGUCAAAAUUCCUAUGGCGGCAGCUGUAUUUCACAAUAUAAUCCGGAGUCACAGAGGUGAUGAACAA
rnacentral:rRNA from 1 species